UACGGAGGAUGCGAGCGUUAUCCGGAUUUAUUGGGUUUAAAGGGUGCGUAGGUGGUUUCUUAAGUCAGUGGUGAAAGUUUGUCGCUCAACGAUAAAAUUGCCAUUGAAACUGGGGAACUUGAGUAUGUUUGAGGUAGGCGGAAUGCGUAGUGUAGCGGUGAAAUGCAUAGAUAUUACGCAGAACUCCAAUUGCGAAGGCAGCUUACUAAACCAUAACUGACACUGAUGCACGAAAGCGUGGGUAUCAAACAGG
rnacentral:ncRNA from 2 species